AAAGAAGGGUGUGGGGACCAUGUUUCGACCGCCCAUGCGCACGCUGUCUUACCAAACCAAAAAGACUCAAAUCCUUAACACCAUCCCAUCAUCCAUACAUCUCUCUCUCUCUCUCUCUCUCUCUCUCUCUCUCUCUCUCUCUCAUCUGCACCUGCUUCAAGAACCUGCAGAAUGAAUGAAUGAAUGUAUGCAUGUGUGUAUGUAUCUCUCUCUCUCUAUCUAUGAGUGAAGGAAUGAAUUCAUGAGCGAAAGAUGAUAGGAUCUGUGUUUGACUUAGCCUAACCCUAACCCUCACCAACAAUAAUUCACCCCUUUCGGCUGAUCAUCCUUUCUGGUUAAGGUUAGAAGCGUUUCAUUCCCAAGAAAAACAACCCACCCACAAGCUAAAAACCCCAAUUCUUGAUUUUCCGGCGACCUGGUUGGGAGCUCAGUGUAAUUUAAUUUAAUUUCCAGCCGGAGAUAUAUGGAUCCGCUCACUGCCCAUCAUGGCCGCCCUUUGCCGCCGCCGUUUUACAGUAGCAGAGAUGUUCAGUUGAAUCAGUUCCUCCACCACCACCACCACCAACAACCGCCGCCGCCGCCGCCGCAGCAGCAGCAGCUGCCUAAAUCUGACGGCGAGGAGCAGAUAAAAGGUGCAGAUCGUGAUGAUGUUACGGUGACGUCAACGACUAAUAAUAAUAAUAAUAAUAAUACUUCGCCGGUGGAUGGUAAACAAGGUUUGGGGUUGUCCUCCGGUACCGGAGAUUCCGGGGGAGAUCAUUCGGGGAGGAAGCCGAGAGGAAGGCCAGCCGGCUCGAAGAACAAGCCGAAGCCGCCGAUCAUCAUUACACGUGACAGCGCCAACGCCCUCCGAUCCCACGUCAUGGAAAUAUCCAACGGCUGCGAUAUUCAGGAGAGCAUUUCCAGCUUCGCCACCCGCCGCCAGCGCGGCGUCUGCAUUCUCAGCGGCAGCGGCACCGUCGCCAACGUCACUCUCCGUCAACCGGCCUCUCCCGGCGCCGUCGUCACUCUCCACGGAAGAUUCGAAAUUCUUUCCCUCUCCGGCUCCUAUUUGCCCCCGCCGGCUCCCCCCGCCGCCUCCGGCCUCACCAUAUACCUCGCCGGAGGGCAAGGCCAAGUGGUUGGCGGCAGCGUCGUGGGUCCCUUAAUGGCCUCCGGUCCCGUCAUGAUCAUGGCCGCAUCUUUCGGAAAUGCAGCGUACGAGAGGCUCCCCAUAGAAGACGACGAAUCCCCAGUCCAACCCCCGGGAACCGAACCGUUAGGCGGCGCCGGAAUUGUGAGCAGCCAACAACAAUCGCCGCCGCAGAUCAUGGUCUCCUCCGACGCCACGGGUCUCCAAGGUUUGCCUCCGAACCUCAUAAAUUCAUGUCAGUUGCCGGCAGAAGCUUUCUGGGGUACUCCUCGACCACCUUAUUGAAAACAAAAACAGACAGUUUGAAUCAGUCAGUUAUGUGCAAUCUAGACUGGUCUAUAUCUCUAUCUUCUUGUGACGCUGGUUAGAGUCACAAGACGGGAUUUAUCUCGAUUGCAGAUUUCUCUGGUCACCCAAAAAAAUGGACAGUUUUUAUAUGGAGUAAUUUAUGUCAUUUAUUUCCUUUUCCCCCCAUUUUCUUGAGUUUGUUAAUUAGCUUAUUAAUCCUGGGUUUGAUCUGAGCUCAACUUUUCUUUUCAUUAAUCAAUCUUGGUACAUUCCUAGAGUUUGUGCUGGUGUCAAACUGUCAAUCUAUGUUUGUUAAUUAGUAAUUUAUCACUGCUAGCUCUACAUCUCCGGUUAGUUAUCAAGAAUUACUCGAAUUUCCGGCCACUUAAAAUGGUCAAAAAACUAGGGUUUUCAAUAUGAAUGUAUAAACUUUCAUGUUUUUAAACUUCAUGACAGUAUAUAGAUGGAGUUUGCACUUUAA